rnacentral:rRNA from 1 species
AGAGUUUGAUCAUGGCUCAGAUUGAACGCUGGCGGCAGGCCUAACACAUGCAAGUCGAACGGUAACAGGAAGAAGCUUGCUUCUUUGCUGACGAGUGGCGGACGGGUGAGUAAUGUCUGGGAAACUGCCUGAUGGAGGGGGAUAACUACUGGAAACGGUAGCUAAUACCGCAUAACGUCGCAAGACCAAAGAGGGGGACCUUAGGGCCUCUUGCCAUCGGAUGUGCCCAGAUGGGAUUAGCUAGUAGGUGGGGUAAAGGCUCACCUAGGCGACGAUCCCUAGCUGGUCUGAGAGGAUGACCAGCCACACUGGAACUGAGACACGGUCCAGACUCCUACGGGAGGCAGCAGUGGGGAAUAUUGCACAAUGGGCGCAAGCCUGAUGCAGCCAUGCCGCGUGUAUGAAGAAGGCCUUCGGGUUGUAAAGUACUUUCAGCGGGGAGGAAGGGAGUAAAGUUAAUACCUUUGCUCAUUGACGUUACCCGCAGAAGAAGCACCGGCUAACUCCGUGCCAGCAGCCGCGGUAAUACGGAGGGUGCAAGCGUUAAUCGGAAUUACUGGGCGUAAAGCGCACGCAGGGCGGUUUGUUAAGUCAGAUGUGAAAUCCCCGGGCUCAACCUGGGAACUGCAUCUGAUACUGGCAAGCUUGAGUCUCGUAGAGGGGGGUAGAAUUCCAGGUGUAGCGGUGAAAUGCGUAGAGAUCUGGAGGAAUACCGGUGGCGAAGGCGGCCCCCUGGACGAAGACUGACGCUCAGGUGCGAAAGCGUGGGGAAGCAAACAGAUUAGAUACCCUGGUAGUCC